rnacentral:pre_miRNA from 1 species
GAUUUCAACUGAAAAAGUCAUCAACAACAAAUUUGUAUAACUCAUCGAUAUCUAUAACUUUUAUUUUGGUUAUUUCUUCAUCCGACAAAACGAUAGUAAUAUUGUUUACAAAAUGUACAUAUCUCUCUUAUAGUUUAUAAAACCAAAUGAGAGAUAUGUAAACUUUGUGAACAAUGUUACUAUCACUUUAUCGGAUGAAGAAAUAACCAAAAUAAAAGUUGUAUGUCUUAAUGAGUUCUACCUUUUAUGUUCAUAACUUUUUCAGCUGAAUA